ACGACUGUAGCUCAACUAGGCAGAGCGUCCGUUCCAACGGUUAGAAAUCGGUUCGAACCCGAUCAGUCGUC
rnacentral:tRNA from 1 species